GGCGUGCUUAACACAUGCAAGUCGAACGGAAAGGCCCUGCUUUUGUGGGGUGCUCGAGUGGCGAACGGGUGAGUAACACGUGAGUAACCUGCCCUUGACUUUGGGAUAACUUCAGGAAACUGGGGCUAAUACCGGAUAGGAGCUCCUGCUGCAUGGUGGGGGUUGGAAAGUUUCGGCGGUUGGGGAUGGACUCGCGGCUUAUCAGCUUGUUGGUGGGGUAGUGGCUUACCAAGGCUUUGACGGGUAGCCGGCCUGAGAGGGUGACCGGCCACAUUGGGACUGAGAUACGGCCCAGACUCCUACGGGAGGCAGCAGUGGGGAAUAUUGCACAAUGGGCGGAAGCCUGAUGCAGCAACGCCGCGUGCGGGAUGACGGCCUUCGGGUUGUAAACCGCUUUCGCCUGUGACGAAGCGUGAGUGACGGUAAUGGGUAAAGAAGCACCGGCUAACUACGUGCCAGCAGCCGCGGUGAUACGUAGGGUGCGAGCGUUGUCCGGAUUUAUUGGGCGUAAAGGGCUCGUAGGUGGUUGAUCGCGUCGGAAGUGUAAUCUUGGGGCUUAACCCUGAGCGUGCUUUCGAUACGGGUUGACUUGAGGAAGGUAGGGGAGAAUGGAAUUCCUGGUGGAGCGGUGGAAUGCGCAGAUAUCAGGAGGAACACCAGUGGCGAAGGCGGUUCUCUGGGCCUUUCCUGACGCUGAGAAGCGAAAGCGUGGGGAGCGAACAGGCUUAGAUACCCUGGUAGUCCACGCUGUAAACGGUGGGUACUAGGUGUGGGGUCCAUUCCACGGGUUCCGUGCCGUAGCUAACGCUUUAAGUACCCCGCCUGGGGAGUACGGCCGCAAGGCUAAAACUCAAAGGAAUUGACGGGGCCCCGCACAAGCGGCGGAGCAUGCGGAUUAAUUCGAUGCAACGCGUAGAACCUUACCUGGGUUUGACAUGGAUCGGGAGUGCUCAGAGAUGGGUGUGCCUCUUUUGGGGUCGGUUCACAGGUGGUGCAUGGCUGUCGUCAGCUCGUGUCGUGAGGUGUUGGGUUAAGUCCCGCAACGAGCGCAACCCUUGUUCACUGUUGCCAGCACGUUAUGGUGGGGACUCAGUGGAGACCGCCGGGGUCAACUCGGAGGAAGGUGGGGAUGACGUCAAGUCAUCAUGCCCCUUAUGUCCAGGGCUUCACGCAUGCUACAAUGGCUGGUACAGAGAGUGGCGAGCCUGUGAGGGUGAGCGAAUCUCGGAAAGCCGGUCUCAGUUCGGAUUGGGGUCUGCAACUCGACCUCAUGAAGUCGGAGUCGCUAGUAAUCGCAGAUCAGCAACGCUGCGGUGAAUACGUUCCCGGGGCUUGUACACACCGCCCGUCAAGUCAUGGAAGUUGGUAACACCCGAAGCCGGUGGCCUAACCGUUGUGGGGGAGCCGUCGAAGGUGGGACUGGUGAUUAGGACUAAGUC
rnacentral:rRNA from 1 species